GUAAGUCAGAGCAAUAGCAGAGCACAUGGUCCCUGGGCUCCCAUCACCCUCAAAGAAGUGGCUGAAGCCAGCCUGCCUGGACUGGAUGCUCUUGGGGGCCAGACAUAUGCCCCAGGCCAUUCUCAUUGGUUGCUUCAGAUGACCAGACCCAUCCCCUUUUCCUCAUUUCCCUUCCCAGAGGUGGAUUCUUUACCAGCUGAGCCACCAGAGAAGCCCACAUUCUCCUCUCCUCCUAAGGGGAACCUGGAAUUCUCUGGCCUUCCCAGCAGCUGCCAAGGCCCAGAUGCUGGGCCAAGUGGGACACCUAGACAGCAGCGAGAGGGCAGCUGUGGGCUUUCACAUGGUGGCUGUUCUUAGGACAGCAGCUCGGCGGGUGAUCAGACCCCAUGUGAUCCACCGCAAGAGCCCUCCUUCAGGCAACCCCUCCUCUAUUUCCCACAUCUUCAUCCCGCACCUCGUCUGAGAUCCUGGCCUUUGAGUGAAGGAGUAGCCUGUGCAACGCCCAGCCCCAUGGAAGAGCCAAAAGUUUCCACUUUGGGUGCAGGUGGACCCUGCUCAGGCCUCUGAGGGCCCCCCUUGCCUCCGAUCAUGCCACUUCCAAACCCUCCUGCAUACAGCCUCCUACUGACCUCGGAACACACAUCGAAGCAGGCUGCUGCUGUACCCUGACCUUCCCUGGCUCCCUACUGCCCUCAGGACCAAACUCCCUGGCAUGGCGCUCAGCCUGCAAGCCCAGAUCCCUGCCUUUCUCUCCAGUCACGUUCCCCACAGCUCCCACCUUUGUGCUUCUCAUCUCCACGCAUCCCUGCAUUUUCCCAAGUGUACCUCUUUGAAACCCCAACCAGUAACUCGAGUCCCUUUUCCAUCGUAUACAGACUGUUGGACCGUUCUCUUUGUGGCGCAGGGGCCCAUCC
ensembl:lncRNA